UACGUAGGGGGCAAGCGUUGUCCGGAAUCAUUGGGCGUAAAGCGCGUGUAGGCGGCUUGGUAAGUCCGCUCUGAAGCCCGGGGCUCAACCCCGGGAGGCGGGUGGAUACUGUCAAGCUCGAGUCCGGAAGAGGCGAGUGGAAUUCCUGGUGUAGCGGUGAAAUGCGCAGAUAUCAGGAGGAACACCGGUGGCGAAGGCGGCCUGCUGGGCAGUUUGAGCUGACACUGAGGCGCGACAGCGUGGGGAGCAACAGGG
rnacentral:rRNA from 1 species